rnacentral:misc_RNA from 1 species
GCAAACUUGGUCAUUUAGAGGAAGUAAAAGUCGUAACAAGGUCUCCGUUGGUGAACCAGCGGAGGGAUCAUUAAAGAGUUCUAUAACUCCCAAACCCAUGUGAACAUACCUAACGUUGCCUCGGCAGGUCGCGCCUACCUCGUAGCCCCUACCCGGUAGAUGCGGGUAAGCCUGCCGGCGGCCCACCAAACUCUGUUUGAUAUUGAAUUCUGAACCUAUAACUAAAUAAGUUAAAACUUUCAACAACGGAUCUCUUGGUUCUGGCAUCGAUGAAGAACGCAGC